GACGAACGCUGGCGGCGUGCUUAACACAUGCAAGUCGAGCGGUAAGGCCCUUUCGGGGGUACACGAGCGGCGAACGGGUGAGUAACACGUGGGUGACCUGCCCUUAGCUCUGGGAUAAGCCUGGGAAACUGGGUCUAAUACCGGAUAUGACUCCAUAACGCAUGUUGUGGGGUGGAAAGCCUUGUGCGGCUAGGGAUGGGCCCGCGGCCUAUCAGCUUGUUGGUGGGGUGAUGGCCUACCAAGGCGACGACGGGUAGCCGGCCUGAGAGGGCGACCGGCCACACUGGGACUGAGACACGGCCCAGACUCCUACGGGAGGGCAGCAGUGGGGAAUCUUGCGCAAUGGGCGAAAGCCUGACGCAGCGACGCCGCGUGGGGGAUGACGG
rnacentral:rRNA from 1 species